UACAGGGGGGCGAGCGUUAUUCAACGUUAUUUGGCGUAAAGGAUACGUAGACGGUUCUUGACUAGAUUACUUAGGAAAUCCUAAAGUGUAGAAGGUAGGUGACAAAGUAAUACCGAAGAACUUGAGGUUGCUGGGGGUGGCUGGAAUUUUUAGUGUAGGGGUAAAAUCCUGUGAUACUAAAAAGAACUCUAAAGGUGGAAACAUGUUUUCACAGUAAUCUGACGUUGAGGUAUGAAGGCUUGGGUAGC
rnacentral:rRNA from 1 species